rnacentral:rRNA from 1 species
AGAGAGUUAAAGAGUACGUGAAACCGUUGAAGGGGAAACGAAUGCGACCAGCAAAGCACCCGUUGCAGAUUCAGCCGUGCCGGACGGCGUCGGUCGGCGUGCGGAUUCUAAUGAACCGUCGUCGACCGGGCGGUCGUCGGACGCGUCGCAAUUCUGCCCGGUGCGAGCCAACGUCGGUUGGCGGUGGCGUCCGGUCUUUGCGUCAGGUGUCCCGCGGUUUCGCGACCGUGGGCGUUACAGUCGCGGAGGCAGGGCGUGACGGUCGACCGAGGAGACGAGCGAUCGGUGGCGGCCCGCGCCUUUGGCUAGAGGCGGUGCGCGGACGUCUGGUUCACUCUUGCGGACUGCGUGCAGUGCGUGAGUCGUGCGUCGGAGUCGGCGCGCCUGCUCUUUCGUAGGCGGGCCUCGGACGUUGGCGGUGAAAUGGUCUCAUACGACCCGUCUUG